rnacentral:lncRNA from 1 species
UCGGAAAGAGGUUGGCAGCUUUGGCACAGAAAAAGGACCCCCUUGAAACCCAUCUCCCUCACACCACUCCCUUCAUAAAACCCGCCGGAAACCAGCCCGCGCACGACCUUUCUCAUCGGAACUGGUCAUUUCUGCUUCAUCAUUAACACACACACUGGCACAAGAUGAAAAAAUCAAACACAACCGCCUCCUUCAUCUUCAAAUCCCCCUCUCUCUCGUUUUUCUAGUCUCAAUCUCCAUCGCCUACGAGAUUCGCCUAAAGCUGGCGAAAAUUGACCCCCUUAACCUAUUAGUUACCGUUCAAUUCUCUGAGUUUCAGAACCACUUGUUACACAAAGCUUCAGUUCUCCGCAAUCGGAAUUCAAGGAGGCAAGCUGCUUGAUUUUGUUUUGAAUCCGAGGCAAUCCGGUUAGCGUUCGAUGAGAUCUCCGGCGAGAUUUUCCGGCUUAAACCUCGUUCGUGGUCUUGUUCGUUCCAUCGACUAGCAUUUUCAGAAAUGUAAGUCAAUUAAAUUUAAGGUUCACUUGGGUUAUUUCCCCCUUCUUGCUAUUUUAAUUUGAUUUCACGCUUUUGUGGUUUGUAAACCUAUUUUGACUGGAAUCUUGGAUUUAAUAUCUCAUCUCCUUGCUCAUGAUUUCUUAACAAUAUUUGGUUGUGGUUUUGCUAUUCCAUGUUAUGGUCGAUCUAUUUUUGCUUAUUUUGUACUAGGAUGAAAAUCUGGUUGAUUUGUGUUUUAAUACGGAAUUUAGCUCGAUUUAUGUCGACCUAAUUCCCUAGCAACAGUGUAGUUUGUUUUAAUUUCAUAUAUAAGGUUUUCAUAUGUGCUUGAUAUAGUUUCACUUAGUUUAAGUGAAGAUUUUCUUGAUUCAGUAUAUUGGCAUUCUUCUCUUGUGGAAGUCAUGGAUAAGUCUAGAGUCUCUCGUGGAAUUGAAAUUCUGUUAACCAACUUGACAAUUUGUAAAGAUAAGUUGCUCGCACUCAAGGCUUUGGAUGUUGUAAUUAAAGCUUAUUCUGAUUCUAAUUUGUUUGAUAAAGAUGUUGAAUUGUAUUACUUCAUGCUCAAAACUUACACGAUUUGGUUCACAUGGAGUUACUGUUAAUUCUUUACUCGUUAAUAGAGUUGUAUUAUUGUCAUAAGGUUGAGUAAAUAGGGGAAGGUUAAAGAAGGGAGGAAACUGGUUGAGGAUAGAUUGAGGCAAGCCAUCGAAAUUAAUUUAUGGCCCUCAUAAAGUAAUUUAAAAAUCUGUUUUUUGUUAGAAUAAAUUGAGGUGCAUUGUGCCGAACAAGAUUGAUGAAUUGUGUGGCCCUCUUUAAUUAUGUCUUUAAAAUACUUAGAACCUGGGACGUGCCGUUUAGCAAAUUUUCAUGGCCUCCCGCAAGUUAAUAACACGUUAGUCGCUUUAGGCGCGUUCUUUAAUAAUCGUACCUUUCUAAAUUCGGGUAUGCAUUUCAUGCGACCCAAAUCCAAAUCCCAAAAUGUUGAAUAAAAUGUGUCGAGGAUCCGGGUGCAUUUCAUGUGGCGUGAUCAAAAAACAUGUUUUAAACGAUGUUCAAUUUCUUAAAUUUUAAUUGAAAGCGGUAAAUAAUUCUAAAAGUUGCAUUGUAGAAUAACAUGAAUUAAAAAUCAUAUUUUAGCCAAAUACAAAUAGUUGAGCGACCGUGCUAGAAUCACGGAACUCGAGAGUGUCUAACACCUUUUUCCGGGUUAACAGAAUUCCUUACCCGGAUUUCUGACUCGCAGACUGUAUACAGAGUCAAACCAUCCUUGAUUCCAUAUUUAAACCGGUGACUUGGGACACCAUUAAUUAUCUCAAGUGGAGACUCUAAAAUUCUCUUAAAUAAAUGAAUCCUAUUUCGAUUGUCCUUUAAUUGGAAAAUUUUCCUUUAACUACGCCUUUCGCCAGGUGUAGGUGUAAAAAGGAGGUGUGACAGCUCUGGCGACUCUGCUUGGGAUCGAACCCAGAAUCUCUGGUUCAGGGUCAAGAAUUUGAGCUUGAAUAAAUGUUAUAUUUGGCUUUCUGAUUUUCCUACAUGUUCCAUGUUGUAUGUGCUAAAUACUUUACCGCUUUGAUAUUUAUUGAACUGUAUAUAAACGGCUGCGAAACUCGUCCUCUCUUUGAGUCUUAUAAAUCAUGGAGAAGGGUGCACUUCGUGUGACUUUUUUUCUAUUUAGAGUCUUAUCCCAAUUUAGAACGAGGUUCGGACAAGUUGGUAAGCCGAUGGAGCUUCUGUAUCCCCGGUACGCUCCCCCCCCCCUCCGGCUCGAGUUGUGCGCUCGGGUAAGCUAGGUCUAGAACAAUAAACCCAGUGCUUAAACUUAGCAUAAGAAAACCUCAUGCCGGAUCCCUAGUAGGAACGCUUGUUUGCAUCAUGUGCACUUGACUUAGGGAACUCAACAUGGGUUGGCUCCGUCUAGGGCAGGUGUACCCGUAAUAACAGACCAUCUUGAUGUAUCCUAUAUGUUAUAUGUUGCAUUUCUUCAAGGGUGAAAGGGUCAUUUAGCGGACCAAUGAUAGCUGAGGGUAAAUAAAAAAAUAAGAAAAAACAAAUGGAAAAAAAGGAUGAAGUAUGAAAAUAAAACAAGUAGGGUCUGGUUAUGUUUUUAUUAUAUUUUAAAAAAAGAGACAGAAGAUAUAUAAAAAUUUUAAAAAAUAUCUUGCUCUUUUUCAUCAUUUCCUGAAAAUCAAAAAGAAAAAAGAAAAAAAUCCAAAAAGAUUUUACAUGUUUCAUCUUAUUUCAAAAAAUAAAAGAGACAAAAGAAAAUGUUUUCCUUAAAAAAUUAGCUGUUUUUUUAAGUCUUGCCCGUAUACAAUUUGCCCGAACUACGCAAAUAUGAUUUUCUUCUUUCGGGGUGUGAUACGUAGGCAACCCACAUAGGGUCCGGGUUUCCUAGUAAAUCUUAGGUUCUUGGCUUUGCGGGGGUCUCGGCCAAAUUUUGCACCUCUAGCCUUUUUUGGUUAAAUAAGUUAUUUUGCAAAAAUAAUCGCAAUCACAGGUUGUAUGUGUCUAAUAGGGAAUGUUAUUGUCUCAUAUAGUGUUGUUUUAAGUUUUUUCAUACAGGUAUGGAUCUACUUAGCGUUGUUUGAGCAUGACAAAUACCCAAGAACCACUACAUUCAGGAAUUACAUAAGGAGAUUUUUUUUUGAGUAUGUUUUUUUUAUGUCAUCUUUUACUUUCUAAGUUUGUAUGGUAAUGUCAAGCUUUUAGUUAUUAUACUUUGUAUUUUAUAUUUAAAAAUGUGUUGUAACUCAAAAAUCCAAAAAAACAAAAGAGACGUUACAUUUUAUAUUUCCGUUAUAGGUUUUCUUUAGAAUACUAAAAG